ACGCUUUCAUCUCGUGGACGGAAAGGGUGCUGCUGAUUUGAAAACUGCAGUUAAGGUUCUUGAUCGUCUGCAAGAAUUUUUAUUUCCGGGAAUGUUGGUCAACCCAGCAUUAGAGAACAUCGGUUAAGUGUGUGGUGAUUGAGGCGCCUGGGGGUCUCAGACGGUUAAGCGGCCGACUCGAGUUCCGCCCUUGUCAUGCCCCGCAUUGGGCUCUGUGCUAACAACUUGGAACCUGCUUGAGUUUCUCUCCCUCUCUGUCCCUCCCCUGCUGGUGCACACACUCUCAAAAAUAAAUAACGAACUUAAAAAAUGUGGUGGUUACUUCUGACAAGCAGGCUUCCCCCAAGGCUGUGUAGACCGUGCAGGGGCUCCCUGGGCCUGGAGAGGAGUGGGGCUGGCUCCUAGUGUAGUUCCCUAAACUCCUGUCCCUGGGGGCAGUAAAUCCAGGGAAAGGGUACGGAUGCUAGAGCUGAGACAGCCCGUGCCCAGGUCCCAAUUCAGGAGGAGUCAUUUCUCAUGGAAAGUGUCCAACCUGGGAGUAAUUUGUAAGCUUCUUACAUCAAUUGGUGCCAGGCAGCUAUGUUAACUACUACCGUUACCUCUUUGAAUCCACACGACCCCAUGAGGUGGGCACAGUUCAAAGUGUGCCUCUGGGGUGGGGAAGUGUCCUUCCCAGCUCCCAGUCUUGCAGUUGUGGGGUGUGGGGUGGGCAGAACUGAGGAUCACCGCUGGGACUCCGAUCCAAGCUCUUGAUCCUUCACUGCCCCCAGACGAAAGAACUCCUCCCUCCUACCCCAAAGCGCCGCACUCCUUUCUCCUCCCAGCAAAAGAAGGGGUCACCACCAAUAAAACGUCAAAUCAGGGAUGCCUGGCUGGCUCAGAGGGUAGAGGAUACAACCCUUGAUCUCAGGGUCAUGAGUUCAAGACCCAUCUUGGGCAUAGAGCUUGCUUAAAAAUAUUUAAAAAAAAAAAAAAAAGUGACAAAUGCUUGCUCCUCUGACCCACCCACUUCUCAUGGGAAGCAGGGGGAGGGCGGAGGGCGGAGGGCAGGCAGAUGUCCUGCACACCUUUAAUAUCACUCACACGGAUACAGGACGGAGAUUGCUAAUGCAAACCCAUUUGGAAGAUGCACCCCACCUACAGGUUUCGAUCCCUUUCCUCCCCCACCUUGCUUUAAAGCGUUUCAGCCAAGUCACUCUGGAUUUCCUCAAGCACUCUGUAAAAUCUCUAAUUUUGUCAAAUGACAGAAAAUCGAGGGACACACAGCCUGAGAAAGCACAUUCAGCUUUAGGGCUUUUUUUUUUUUUUUAAUUUUUUUUAUUUAAAUAAGGAGAAUUCUUUCAUAUGGAAAGAGCUAGUACAAUCACAUAUUUGAAAGGAGAAACAAUAGGUACUGAUCGGAGGGAAAGGGCAAAGGGUGAGUGCCACCAUGGCCUGCUGAAUCCAUGAUUCCGUUUCCCGUCCAAGGCAAAAGCUUCCCAGAAAACGUAUAAACAAGCUGCACGUUACACCUUUAGCCAUCGUCUGCCCUUUCAAAUAUCUGGUCUACAUGAAAAGACAAAGAGAGGAAAGGCCAAAAUAAAAACAAAAGGGAACAAAAACAAAACACAACCCUUUUAAGAACAACAACAAAAAACCCAAACCCUUUUACUACACAAGGCAUGAAGUCAAAAGCUUAGAGUACAGUAUCCCCUUUAAACAAUGGAAGAAAGUCAUCCACACAGAGCCUUAAUAGAAAUUUCCACUCUGAGGCUUCCUAACAUGCUGAACACAGGGUCCUGGGGACACUGUCCCCCAGCCAGGGUGGGGAAAUGGUGAACAGCAAGAUCAGAUGCGCCUGAAGGUCACUAGCCAAGUAUGUGCUGGUGGUCCUGGAGGAGGGCGUGGCUAGGGGACAGUGUCAGACCCCAACACUGAGCCACCCUGUCCCAGGUGAGCUCUGUCUCGGGUCCAUCUCAUUUUCAAGCAGGAGGAGCUGGCUUUCCGGAAGUCUGCGUUUCCCAUUCAUCACAAACCAUGACAAAGCAGAGGCACUCUGUAGUGUCCUCGGUUGUCAAAGGCCAUUUCCAACUGACCUCGUAACCCAGGCUUGCUCUGCAAGAAGUGCAAAGGGACAAAUACAGAUUUGAGGGGCAACAUGCAGCCGCUUGGUGGAGGGAAACAGAACAGCAGGGAGGGGCUUUACCGGUUUGCCACACACUGCCUCGGUGGGCCGUCUCUGAACACGGCCGUGCAACCACGUGCACACCCUCAGCGUCCUUGGCUCUGAGCAUCAUUCACAAACCUCACCCACCAUCCCGAAGGCAGAUCCUGAAGACGGGAAGGCGAGGGCGUAGUUGGAGACCCGAUGUCGACAUUUAACAAGAUACCCCAAUAUCCCCAGAAGUGGCUGGAUGACCACAGCUUUGAACUCAACCAACCGAUUUCUGAGCGUGUAGGUCCAUCCUUUGUUUUCCCUCUUGAGGAACCCAGAGCCAGAAGUGUAUGAAUUCCAAGUUUGAAAUCAAAAGUAAGGCGGAUUAAAAAGGGGGAAGCAACAGUAAAGAAAACCAGACCAAAUACAACUGGCAGAGAAGUUUUCAGUGGGCGUAUGCCUCUUGGAUACUCGACCCCACACUCUGAGACUUCGCCCUGUUCAGUAGUUGACGCUGGACGGACACUACCGCAGGGUCGCCUGUUGCCGAGCAACGGGCUGCACCAUCAAUGGCCAAGGCCAAGCUGCCAGCAUCGGAAGGGAGGCAAAGGUGCGGUGAGAGAGCUCCGACCCCUCCCCUCCCCCCAAUCUCAGCAGCAGGAAAGCUAAGUGCUGGUCUUCGCCUGUUCCCACCAAAGGCCCCACGGCAUCCUGGCAGAGGCCUCUGCGUGGAUUUACACUCUGAGGAUGAGGGUUUGAAACCAAAAUAAGACCCUAAGCCCCAUUAACCUUGAGCGUGGUUCUAAAACCACACGAAAGGAAGAGAUAUUGCACCUUAAACACCUCUGCACUAAAAACUGCAUUUCCUCAGACCAAGGAAGGGACGGGACGUCGGGCAGGCCUCAGGUCUGCCCUCUGCCCCGAGUCCAAUUUAAAAUCUGCAUCUUAGUGGGAAAGAGACGGCAGCUCGGGCACACGGAGGUGGUGAAUGCACUGAACUUCACAUGCAAUUUCCUGGCCUUUCCUGCACAGAAUAAUUCAGACAUUAUAUAUAAAUAGAGCAGUGAAACAUUUACUGGUUUUCACCUAGACCUACAACAUCAAUACAUAUAAAUAAAUUCUAGUGUUUUGUUUUGUUUUGUUUUUUAUUGGGGAGGGGGAGGAGAGAAAAUACAAGGGUAGAGAGAAGGGCUGGAGAACAGGUGACCUUGUUUUUAUUUUUUCUCAAAACAGGGAGGACUGUCACCCUGACGGCAGGUUUGCCCGCAGGGUACGUCUUGAGUGUGUAACAGCAUCCACGCCUGUUCUGUUGAAUUUCAAAACGAGAAAACCCUUUUUUCCUUUUGACAUACAACGUGCACCGGAAUCGGGUGUGAGGGUGUGGCCGUGUUUCUAAGUGUACAGGUGCCCAGGGGUCAGCAUGUCCACCGGCCGUAGAAGGGUCCAGGACAGAGACUCUGCGAAAUUCCUAUGCUAAAAUCAUCAUCAGCUUCACUGGGCUGUCCCUGGACUCCAGGGGUCCUCAGGCCAGGGGCGAGAAUCCAACCGUGACACUGACCCACCUCCCGUCUCUCUCGCUGCUCCCAAGCAGGCAGCCGCCCCCGGCAUGGCCCGGCACCGGUUCACCGACGGAGGAAGCGCGGGGGGUGGGGGGCGCCCGCCUGCGUCAGAUGUUAAGGGAUCGCAGCGACGGACCAGCGGAGCGGCAGACGCGGUUAAGGGCAGGACCGGAACAGGAGGAGGUGAGGGAGAGGAUGGCAAAGUAGAAAAGUUCAGCUACGCAGACA